rnacentral:rRNA from 1 species
GUUUGAUCCUGGCUCAGGAUGAACGCUGGCGGUAUGCUUAACACAUGCAAGUCGAACGGGGUCAGAAAUGAUUCAGUGGCGGACGGGUGAGUAACGCGUGAGAAUCUGGCUUCAGGUUCGGGACAACCACUGGAAACGGUGGCUAAUACCGGAUAUGCCGAGAGGUGAAAGAUAUAUUGCCUGAAGAUGAGCUCGCGUCUGAUUAGCUAGUUGGUAGGGUAAUGGCCUACCAAGGCGGCGAUCGGUAACUGGUCUGAGAGGAUGACCAGUCACACUGGGACUGAGACACGGCCCAGACUCCUACGGGAGGCAGCAGUGGGGAAUUUUCCGCAAUGGGCGAAAGCCUGACGGAGCAAUACCGCGUGGGGGAUGAAGGCU